rnacentral:tRNA from 1 species
AGAGACUUAGGCUAGAUCAUAAACCAAGGGCCUUCAAAGCCUUAACCAAGAGUUAAAACCUCUUAGCCUCUG